UAGGGAAUCUUCCGCAAUGGACGAAAGUCUGACGGAGCAACGCCGCGUGAGUGAAGAAGGUUUUCGGAUCGUAAAACUCUGUUGUAAGGGAAGAACAAGUACGUUAGUAACUGAACGUACCUUGACGGUACCUUACCAGAAAGCCACGGCUAACUACGUGCCAGCAGCCGCGGUAAUACGUAGGUGGCAAGCGUUAUCCGGAAUUAUUGGGCGUAAAGCGCGCGUAGGCGGUCUCUUAAGUCUGAUGUGAAAGCCCCCGGCUCAACCGGGGAGGGUCAUUGGAAACUGGGAGGCUUGAGUGCAGAAGAGGAGAGUGGAAUUCCAUGUGUAGCGGUGAAAUGCGCAGAGAUAUGGGGGAACACCAGUGGCGAAGGCGGCUCUCUGGUCUGUAACUGACGCUGAGGUGCGAAAGCGUGGGGAUCAAACAGG
rnacentral:rRNA from 1 species